GCCUUCGUGGUGUAACGGUAGCACAAUCGGCUCCCAUUUGAGAGGUCCAAGUUCGAGUCCCGACGAGGGCA
rnacentral:tRNA from 1 species